rnacentral:rRNA from 1 species
GCAAGUCGAACGGCAGCAUAGAGAGCGUGCUCUCUGAUGGCGAGUGGCGAACGGGUGAGUAAUAUAUCGGAACGUGCCUAGGAAUAAGGAAUAACUAGCUGAAAGGUUAGCUAAUGCCGCAUACGACCUACGUGUGAAAGCAGGGGAUCUUCGGACCUAGCGUUAUUAGAGCGGCCUAUAUCUGAUUAGCUUGUUGGUGGGGUAAUGGCCUACCAAGGCGACGAUCAGUAGCUGGUCUGAGAGGACGAUC